CUYCGGGAUUCCCUAGUACGGCGAGUGAACCGGGAAGAGCUCAAAUUUGAAAUCUGGCGUCCUCAGGGCGUCCGAGUUGUAAUCUAUAGAGGCGUUUUCCGUGCCGGACCGUGUCCAAGUUCCUUGGAACAGGAUAUCAAAGAGGGUGACAAUCCCGUACUUGACACGACGACCGGUGCUCUGUGAUACGUCUUCUACGAGUCGAGUUGUUUGGGAAUGCAGCUCAAAAUGGGUGGUGAGUUCCAUCUAAAGCUAAAUAUUGGCGAGAGACCGAUAGCGAACAAGUACCGUGAGGGAAAGAUGAAAAGCACUUUGGAAAGAGAGUUAAACAGUACGUGAAAUUGUUGAAAGGGAAACGAUUGAAGUCAGUCGUGACCGAGAGGCUCAGCCGGUUCUGCCGGUGUAUUCCCCUCGGUCGGGUCAACAUCAGUUUUGUCCGGUGGAUAAGGGCGGUAGGAAGGUGGCACCCUCGGGUGUGUUAUAGCCUGCCGUCGCAUACAUCGGGUGAGACUGAGGAACGCAGCUCGCCUUUAUGGCCGGGGUUCGCCCACGUCCGAGCUUAGGAUGUUGACAUAAUGGCUUUAAAACGACCCGUCUUGAAAMASGGAMACAAA
rnacentral:rRNA from 1 species